rnacentral:misc_RNA from 1 species
UUUGGCCGGAGAAGCCGAAACGCCUCGCGCGCAGGGGAGGGGCGUUCGCGCGCGUUUCUGGCCGUUUGGGGCGGCGGCCGGUCGGCUGGGACAGCUGGGAGGCGGCGCCGGCGAGGGGAGGACGCAGGGGAGGCGGCUGGCCGGCGGCAGGGGAGGGGAGGAGAGAGAAAAGAGAGAGAAAAGGGAGAGGGACGACGCGCGCGGGGAAGAAAAAGGGAAGAAGGAAAAAGGCCGGUCCGAUUCGAUCGGUCCGAUCCGGUCUGGUUCGAUUCGGCCGGUUCGAUUCAGGAUACAAAAUUUUAAAUUUUUACUUUGCCUUGGGAACGAAAACGAGGCUCAAAAAUUCCGAAAAAAUUCUA